CGCAUUCACGGGGUAUUCUCCAAAUGCAACCGUGUGCGUGACUGCGCGUUUCCAUUAAGCAGCGGUUCAACCGAAGCGAUUACGUUAUUUCUUCUUCUAAUAGAGGCACAGCGCCGCUGAUAGUGUCACAUCGCACAGCCCGUACGUGCCCGGGGAAAUCUCAACGUUACAGAAAAGACAAACUUGAUCCCCCGCUGCGGGUCUCGACCGGCUUCCAGAGUGCGUCCCCUUCGAGUGUCUCCAUCUGUCCGGGCGGGCCUCCCUCUAACCUUGGAUGGGAGACGAGCAGUUGCUGCAGGCCUGACGCGGCUCGGGGGGCUGGCAACACUGCGCACCCAAAGGACGGGCAUGCUAAUUGGGCUCAUCAGGUGAAACACCCCCCCCGCCCCUGAAUUGUACGUAAGCUCCUACACACGUGUGAAUAUAUCAGACUGCUGGCCACUUGGAAGUAAAACAGAAUUAAGGUAUUUUUGGAGGCUUUGCACCCCUCAUCAUAACAAUGGCAGGGGAGAGAGUCCGAUCUAUCCAGGAGUACCCAUCCCUUUAGGACUGUUUUGCUUCCUACAAUGGCAAAACUGUACCAGGAACAAACAACGGAAGUUGCCAUGGCUGUCAAAAAGAAGGGAAGAAGAGGUAGCAAAGGAAGCAGAAUAUGAAGAAGCCGAUAACCCAGUUGACGGAGUAUAUGUAGAUGAUGACCAUGUCCAUGUCAAAACGCCAGCCUCGAGAGUCCUCUUCAAAGUCCAGAUCGCCCAGUUGGUAGCCUCCUCCGUGGGGGAGCUGGCGUCUAACAAUGGGACCAGACUGCCUCUGGAAGCCUGCUUUGGGAGACAAACGGGGCAUUUCAUCUGGUGGUACUGAUGCUCAACCCAAAAUACUUUCUACAUAUCUGAUCUAAAUUCAAAUCUGUCUUUGGACCAAAAUUAAAAAGGUUCUGUUGGUCAAAUAGUGAAACUUCUCUCAGAUGGUUAAUGGAUGCAGUAUCUUACAAAAUGCAGAAUUAAAUGUUUCAAUCAACUUCUGCAGUGUAAUAAACUUUUCUUCUGUCUGUAAUUGUAUCUGUUCAGUUUAUUUAAAAAACCUGCCUUGUAUUUAAGUCCUCUUUGCUUUAUGCCAAUAAUCCUUUUCUCUGGUGUCUCAUAAGGUGGGACUGUUUAAAGGUGUAGUCAGCAAUUCAUAUCAGAAAACACAAUUUCAAAUUCAGAUAAUCUCCUCAUGGUCCACUUGCGGUACAUUUUGUGCGUGGGCUCAAAGAAUCUGGUAUUUAUACGCUCAAACCGGGCAACACAACACUUUUCUAUCCUAUGCACAUUUAUACUUGUACACAGGACCGAAGAUAUGCAGUCGAUGUAUAAAGAGAAAGGCAGGGAGAACGAAUGAGAUGUUAAAUCUCUUUUUAUCAUUAAUUGUUUUGGGCAUCGGCUUCAAAUACAAGCAAUCUUCCUCCUGAAUUGCUGACUCCACAUUUAAUACUUUAAUGAGUAUAAUACAAUCAGUAUUUGCUCAUAGUUUAACUGGUAAACACCUGGUGCAACAUUGCUUAGCAUAAGAUUGUUGUAUAUUAAGAAUUUGCCUGCGUGGGUGGAUAGGCCUUAAAUCUGUAUUCUCUAUGCUAUAAAGUGUCAUGUUUGUACCAUUGAAGCAUUCAGGUAUUUUUAGAAUGAUUGGGUAGAAGGUAUAAUUUACUCUGUCACAGCUCUUGUCAAUAUAUUUAACAAAGCAUUUAACAAGUCCUACUGCUACUUUGCCUAAUCUGAUGAAUGUAUCUUGCAUUGCAGGAUAAUUAAAAACGUGCCUCCAAA